GACGAACGCUGGCGGCGUGCUUAACACAUGCAAGUCGAACGGGUCUGCCCUGUUUUUUGCGGGGUGGGUCAGUGGCGAACGGGUGAGUAACACGUGAGUAACCUGCCCCUCACUUCUGGAUAACCGCUUGAAAGGGUGGCUAAUACGGGGUGUUCUGGCUGUGGCGCAUGGUGUGGCUGGGAAAGAUUCACUUUUGUGGUGUUUUGGUGGGGGAUGGGCUCGCGGCCUAUCAGCUUGUUGGUGGGGUGAUGGCCUGCCAAGGCUUUGACGGGUAGCCGGCCUGAGAGGGUGGGCGGUCACACUGGGACUGAGAUACGGCCCAGACUCCUGCGGGAGGCAGCAGUGGGGGGUAUUGCACAAUGGGCGGAAGCCUGAUGCAGCGACGUCGCGUGAGGGAUGGAGGCCUUCGGGUCGUGAACCUCUUUCGCCGGUGAAGAAGGUCCUGCUCUUUGUGGUGGGGUUGACGGUAGCCGGGUUAUGAAGCGCCGGCUAACUACGUG
rnacentral:rRNA from 1 species